rnacentral:rRNA from 1 species
GACAGAUGGCGCGGGCGUUAUUCGAUUUUACUGGGUGUACAAGGUAUGUAGGUGGGCAUUAUGAAGUUUGUAAAAAAGGUAGGGAAAUCCCAUACCGACGCAAUGAUUUCGUAAAGUCUUGGGUUGAGCAGAGGUUUGUGUAACUUCACGGCGAAGGGUAGAAUCUAACGAUCUGUGCUGAGUAUUGCCAACUAGCGAAGGCAUCUUUCCAUGUUCAACUGACGCUGAGGUACGGAAGCUUGGGGCGCAAACAGG